GUAGUGGUGGUUCAGGGCUAGAAUCCCCGCCUUCCACAUGAGAGACCUGGGUUCUAUUCCUGGCCAAUACA
rnacentral:tRNA from 1 species